rnacentral:rRNA from 1 species
AUUGAACGCUGGCGGCAGGCCUAACACAUGCAAGUCGAGCGAACCUAGCUUGCUAGGUGAGCGGCGAGCGGGUGAGUAACACGUAGGAAUCUGCCCGAUAGUGGGGGACAACGUCUCGAAAGGGACGCUAAUACCGCAUACGCCCUAAGGGGGAAAGCAGGGGAUCUUCGGACCUUGCGCUAUCGGAUGAGCCUGCGUCGGAUUAGCUAGUUGGCGGGGUAAAGGCCCACCAAGGCGACGAUCCGUAGCUGGUCUGAGAGGAUGAUCAGCCACACCGGAACUGAGACACGGUCCGGACUCCUACGGGAGGCAGCAGUGGGGAAUAUUGGACAAUGGGGGCAACCCUGAUCCAGCCAUGCCGCGUGUGUGAAGAAGGCCUUCGGGUUGUAAAGCACUUUAAGCGGGGAGGAAAGUUCGCUGGCUAAUAUCCAGCGGAAUUGACGUUACCCGCAGAAUAAGCACCGGCUAACUCCGUGCCAGCCGCCGCGGUAA